rnacentral:rRNA from 1 species
UAGUCCACGCCGUAAACGAUGUCAACUAGCCGUUGGGACUCUUGAAGUCUUAGUGGCGCAGCUAACGCACUAAGUUGACCGCCUGGGGAGUACGGCCGCAAGGUUAAAACUCAAAUGAAUUGACGGGGGCCCGCACAAGCGGUGGAGCAUGUGGUUUAAUUCGACGCAACGCGCAGAACCUUACCAACCCUUGACAUCCAGUGCCACUUCCAGAGAUGGAACGUUCCCUUCGGGGACGCUGUGACAGGUGCUGCAUGGCUGUCGUCAGCUCGUGUCGUGAGAUGUUGAGUUAAGUCCCGCAACGAGCGCAACCCUUGUCUUUAGUUGCCAUCAUUAAGUUGGGCACUUUAAAGAGACUGCCGGUGACAAACCGGAGGAAGGUAAGGAUGACGUCAAGUCAGCAUGCCCCUUAUGCUCUGGGCUACACACGUGCUACAAUGGCCGUGACAAAGAGUUGCUACUUUGUGAAAACAAGCUAAUCUCAUAAACGCGGCCUCAGUUCGGAUUG